rnacentral:rRNA from 1 species
CCUACGGGCGGCUGCAGUAGGGAAUAUUGCUCAAUGGGGGAAACCCUGAAGCAGCAACGCCGCGUGGAGGAUGAAGGUUUUCGGAUUGUAAACUCCUUUUGUUAGAGAAGAUAAUGACGGUAUCUAACGAAUAAGCACCGGCUAACUCCGUGCCAGCAGCCGCGGUAAUACGGAGGGUGCAAGCGUUACUCGGAAUCACUGGGCGGAAAGAGCGCGUAGGCGGGAUAGCAAGUCAGAUGUGAAAUCCUAUGGCUUAACCAUAGAACUGCAUUUGAAACUGGUAUUCUAGAGUAUGGGAGAGGUAGGUGGAAUGCGUGGUGUAGGGGUAAAAUCCGUAGAGAUCAAGAGGAAUACUCAUUGCGAAGGCGACCUGCUAGAACAUAACUGACGCUGAUGCGCGAAAGCGUGGGGAGCAAACAGGAUUAGAUACCCCAGUAGUC